rnacentral:rRNA from 1 species
GACAGAGGUGCCAAGCGUUAGGCGGAAUCACUGGGCUUAAAGCGUGUGUAGGCGGACUGGUAAGUACCUUGUGAAAUCCCACGGCUCACCCGUGGAACUGCUGGGCAUACUGGGCGUCUUGGGCCAACUAGGGGCAGCCGGAACAAGCGGUGGAGCGGUGAAAUGCGUAGAUAUCGCUUGGAACGCCGAAGGUGAAAACAGGCUGCUGGGGUUGCGCCGACGCUGAGACACGAAAGCCAGGGGAGCAAACGGG